CGGGUGAGUAACGCGUGAGGAACCUGCCUCAAAGAGGGGGACAACAGUUGGAAACGACUGCUAAUACCGCAUAAGCCCACGGCUCGGCAUCGAGCAGAGGGAAAAGGAGCAAUCCGCUUUGAGAUGGCCUCGCGUCCGAUUAGCUAGUUGGUGAGGUAACGGCCCAUCAAGGCGACGAUCGGUAGCCGGACUGAGAGGUUGAACGGCCACAUUGGGACUGAGACACGGCCCAG
rnacentral:rRNA from 1 species